rnacentral:lncRNA from 1 species
AAACAAAAGAAAAAAAAAAGAGAAGAAGGGAAGAAACAGAAUAUUAGAAACGAAACAGAGAGGGAAGGAAGGAAAGAAAGAAAAGAAAGAAAAAACGGGAAAAUAUAAGGUUUGAAGCUUGAAGUUUAAUUUGGUAAGUCAAUUAAGUCAUUUCCUCUUAAAUUUGAUGUUUUAGAAGCUUUAAAACAAAGUUUUAUUGAAAUUAAGUUGAUAUUUUGAGAGUUUAUAGUUUUUCAAGUAUAGUUCAUGUUGAAUAAAAUAGUGAAUUAAGGGUUUAAUUGAGUGAAUUUCAAGUUAGAAUUGAUAAUAGGAUCAAAUUGUAAAGUAAGUUAUAAGUUUUAUGUUGUAGGAACUAAAUUGAUGAAAUUUUGAAAUUAGGAAAAUAUGCUGGAAAUUUAAUAUUUAAAUGAGAGUAUGGAUGAAAUUUCAAUAGAAAUAGAAUGUGAAUUGAAUUAGAAACGUAAGUGAAAAUUAGUUAAGAUUAAAUUGAAAUUAAAGUAGAAAAUUGAAUAGAAAAUUCAAUUAAUUAGAUAUAAAUUAGUAGUGAAUUAAUGAAUAUGAAUUGUUUUAAUUUCCGUAGCUAACGUUGUCUCGAGAAGUUUCGACUAAGUAAGGAAAUAGCAAAGUCGACGAGGAAAAGCUUGGAAAAGCUCGAAAAAUACGGUUUGUAUUUCUAUAAUCCGAACUCAGUCAUUAUUUGUUAUAUUUAUAUACAGAUGACAAUUGUUAGUGUUAGAAUUAUGAUAUUUUACAAUUGAAAUGGAUUGAUUUUGGUAUGUGAUAAAUUUAUCAAAUUUAUAUUGAUUGAAAUUAUUUUGAUUGAAUUUAUAUUGAUUGAAAUAUAUAAUAUAUAUAUAUGAUUUAUGUAAAAAUUUGAAUAUUGAAUGAAUGUUAUAUUGAAAAAAAUUAUAUUGAUUGGAAAUAUGAGGGAAUUGAUAUGAAUAUAUGUGAUUAUUAGAAUAGUAUAUUGAUGAAAGACUUAUUAAAUUGAGAAAGUGAAUCAAAUACCCUAUUAACAGUAUCGGACCAGAUUGGAUACAAAUGGCAUGCCAUUGGAUUUGUGAUGUGAUGGGGAGAUUUGUAGUUCGGCCGAGAAGAUAUUUCUAUUAUUAUAUACUUCGGUUUAUCCGAAGAGGCAUUUAAUGCCUUGUUGGUGUGUUUGGGAGGAUAUGAUAUACUGGUGUGUUAUGGAGGAUUUAUAAUAUUCCAGGUGUGUUUGGGUUGGAUAUUCUGGUGUGUUUGGGUUGGAUAUUCUGGUGUGUUUGGGAGGAAUCCACGUAUCUAUCAGAGUCCGAGUCUUGUUAAUAGGGGUAAAUAAGUGAAAAGAUAAAUCGAGUGAAUUUGAUUGAUUGAGCUAUUAGAAUGAAAUGAGAAAUUGAAUUGAGAAUUGAAAUUGAGAUAUGAGAUUGAAAACAUGAACCAAAAGGUUCAUGAAAUGAGUGAAGUUCAAAUGGAUGAUGAUUGAUGUUAGAAUGAAUUAAAAUGGUAUAUUGUUAAGAAGUAAAGUGUGAAUACAAGUGAAUUGUGAAUAUAUUGUAUAGAAUUUAUACGGUAAGUAAAUGAAAUUCAUCUAUAAAAUAAAUAAAUGAAUACUUAUAAUUGUUAUUGUGAUUUUAAGUUUAAUUGUUAUGUUAUUAAGUGUUCGGAUUAUGGAAAUACCACUGAGUAUACCAUACUCAGCGUACGGUUUGUUUCCGUGCGCAGGUUAAGUAAAGAUAGAACGUUGAAUCAGCAUCCCAGGCCGAUCCCAAAUUCAAUGAGGUAAAGUGUGUUAAUUAUGGGUAAUGGCAUGUACCUAGGAUGCCUUAUGUGUGUGUCAUUUUGAAAUUGUAAAUGUAACGAUGAAAUAAAUAAAUUUAAGGUUUGGUUAUGGUAUAAAAUAGGAUUUGAAUAAUUUGGUAUGAAUUUGAAUUUUUAUGAGACAAUGUCAGAUUGAUUUCGAAAUUCCCUAUUCUGAAUUGGGAAAAUCAUUAAAAAUUGUAUAAAAAUAAUUAUGGG